rnacentral:lncRNA from 1 species
AAAAACAGAUUUUGUUGCUGUUGUUUUCCUUUGGACUAAUAAAGAAAACAGGCAAGGAGAUGCUGAGAAGACAGGAUGGUGUAGCAACAUGACAGGUAGUUCUGCCCUAUGCCCUGACUUAUGGGCAUACUAUGAGAGGGGCCGCACUUCUAUCCACCUGCCUGCAGUGGUGUGGGGCCCAGACAACGGGCUCUGCUUGCUCUGCCUUUGGUUCCAAAGAUCUCAGCUGUAACCUUUAGCCUUGUGCUCUGCAGUGUCAAAACAAAAACAAAAACAAAAACAAUGAACAACCAAAAAACCCUGAGGUAAGAAUCAGAACCUCUCUUUCCUUUUGCUGUUAAAGGAACCAGAAACUGCUAGGCGUGAUGCUUGAGCCCAAGAGUUGUAGGCUGUAGUGUGCUAUGAUAGCAUCUGUGAAUAGCCACCGCACUCCAGCCUGGGCAACACAGGAAGACCUCAUCUGUAAACAAAACAAAACAAAACAAAACAAACAAAAAUGAACCAGAAAGUCCUCUUUACUUAUGCUGUUAAAGAAAAAAUCACUAAGGAGGGGGAAGGAAGGGAAGCCUGUCUUCCUCACAUGGAUUCAGCAGUUAAUGGCUACAGAAGGAAGACAAAGGACAUGAGAAUUCUUCCUUGCUUUUUUUGUGAGCUCAAGUGACUAUUUUGAAUGAUAUUUCCACCUAUCUAGAUCUAUGAAUCAUUACUCCUAAAGAAGACAGGAAUUCCCUCAGUUUUCACUUACAAUAAACUUAGGGCUUUGUACUCUUUCCCUUUCUCCUCUGUUUACAAGUGACCUUUUCCUCAGCACUUUAUUUUGGUGUCCUUUCCUUUUCUUUACCUAAUCUCUUAACCACCUUUCCACAGGUAACUCCUCUUACCGCAUAGCAUUUACAAUUGCUCCGGUGAGAAGAAAAAUGAAAUAUUUUCCACGGUACCUUCACAAAAAUGAAGGGAUUAUUUUGCCCCAAUGC